rnacentral:rRNA from 1 species
GAUGAACGCUAGCGGCAGGCCUAACACAUGCAAGUCGAGGGAGGAGCCUUCGGGCUUCGACCGGCGUACGGGUGCGUAACGCGUAUACAAUCUGCCUUUCACAUAGGGAUAGCCCGAAGAAAUUUGGAUUAAUACCUAAUGGUAUAUAGAUGUGGCAUCACCUUUAUAUUAAAGCUGAGGCGGUGAAAGAUGAGUAUGCGUUCUAUUAGCUAGUUGGAGAGGUAACGGCUCCCCAAGGCGACGAUAGAUAGGGGUUCUGAGAGGGAUAUCCCCCACACUGGUACUGAGAUACGGACCAGACUCCUACGGGAGGCAGCAGUGAGGAAUAGUGGACAAUGGUCGGAAGACUGAUCCAGCCAUGCCGCGUGCAGGAAGACGGCCUUAUGGGUGGUAAACUGCUUUUGCAGGGGAAGAAUAAGGACUACGCGUAGUUUGAUGACGGUACUCUGCGAAUAAGCAUCGGCUAACUCCGUG